UGGGGAAUUUUGGACAAUGGGGGAAACCCUGAUCCAGCCAUCCCGCGUGUGCGAUGAAGGCCUUCGGGUUGUAAAGCACUUUUGGCAGGAAAGAAACGUCAUGGGUUAAUACCCCGUGAAACUGACGGUACCUGCAGAAUAAGCACCGGCUAACUACGUGCCAGCAGCCGCGGUAAUACGUAGGGUACAAGCGUUAAUCGGAAUUACUGGGCGUAAAGCGUGCGCAGGCGGUUCGGAAAGAAAGAUGUGAAAUCCCAGAGCUCAACGUUGGAACUGCAUUUUUAACUACCGGGCUAGAGUGUGUCAGAGGGAGGUGGAAUUCCGCGUGUAGCAGUGAAAUGCGUAGAUAUGCGGAGGAACACCGAUGGCGAAGGCAGCCUCCUGGGAUAACACUGACGCUCAUGCACGAAAGCGUGGGGAGCAAACAGG
rnacentral:rRNA from 1 species